rnacentral:rRNA from 1 species
UACGUAGGGUCCGAGCGUUGUCCGGAUUUAUUGGGCGUAAAGAGCGUGUAGGCGGUUAGGUAGGUCCGUUGUGAAAACUCGAGGCUCAACCUCGAGACGCCGAUGGAAACCAUCUGACUAGAGUCCGGAAGAGGAGAGUGGAAUUCCUGGUGUAGCGGUGAAAUGCGCAGAUAUCAGGAAGAACACCCGUGGCUAAGGCGGCUCUCUAGUACGUGACUGACGCUGAGACGCGAAAGCGUGGGGAGCGAACAGG